CUGAGGUUUCAGGUCAUUUGAUAUAUGGAAUCUCUUUCUCCCUUCUUGUGAAUUCUUUGCUUCUGGAAUAGCAGUCAGGAUAAUAGAUGCACCACAGGAAAGUGUUAAAAGAGGAGCUGCUGGCAUGUUGGGAAUCAUAGUGUGAUUUUCUUUUUGGAGAGGUGGACAAGGGACAAGAACAGAAGUCCCAGCAACAGCUCUGCUGCUGCAUCUCUCUGCCCAAACAGGCAGGAGUAAAUGUCAUCAUUAGCAUGAUGUGCCAGCCAGGAAGUCAAGGCGAUAACAGGCAGGGUAACAGCAGAGUUGAGAGGAAAGCAGGUGCCCAUGGAGUCACAUGAAUGAUCUGCUCAUCCUAGCUCUGGCCCAACAACUCCUCUGCCUAAGGCUCUUGUUCCUAUCAUGUGUGAGUAACAGAACCUGUGAGGCUGGAACUGCGUCACUGGCUGAAGUCUGCAAAGCUUCAAGGUUCAAGAGAAAGCAGUGAUAAAUGCACGAUGGAUCCCUUCAGCAGUGCAGUUUGUUGUUAUUGGAGAGGAAAAUUCAAAAAUUAAGACUCUUGACUACCCCAUUGCACAGCUGGCAAAGCAGUAGAGAGCCACAAGCAAAGAACAUCUUGAGAUCCAAAUCACAAAGCUGCUUCUUCCACUACCCAGAUUUGUUAAUCCUAAUGAAAUGGUGUGUCCAAAGGUAGAGGAAUAGGAAAAACUACAGUGGCAGAAUUAAAGGCUUAGUCCAUGCUUGCAGUUGCAGUGAUAAUUUGCACUUUUGGAGCACAAGAUGUCUGCACAGUGGGACAAUAGUGUUGUGCAAUACAACCUGAUGCCAUGAAAACUCCAAUCAGCUCCCUUCAGGGUAGCUUA